UACGGGGGGGGCAAGCGUUGUUCGGAAUUACUGGGCGUAAAGGGCGCGUAGGCGGCCUACUAAGUCGGACGUGAAAUCCCUCGGCUCAACCGAGGAACUGCGUCCGAUACUGGCAGGCUGGAAUCCGGGAGAGGGAUGUGGAAUUCCAGGUGUAGCGGUGAAAUGCGUAGACAUCUGGAGGAACACCGGUGGCGAAGGCGGCAUCCUGGACCGGUAUUGACGCUGAGGCGCGAAAGCUAGGGGAGCAAACGGG
rnacentral:rRNA from 1 species